CCUACGGGAGGCAGCAGUGAGGAAUAUUGGUCAAUGGGCGGAAGCCUGAACCAGCCAAGUAGCGUGCAGGAUGACGGCCCUACGGGUUGUAAACUGCUUUUAUACGGGAAUAACGCGCCUUACGUGUAGGGCUUUGCAUGUACCGUAUGAAUAAGGACAGGCUAAUUUCGUGCCAGCAGCCGCGGUAAUACUGAGGGUCCGGGCGUUCUCCGGAGUUAUUGGGUUUUAAGGGUGCGUAGGCGGUCUGUUAAGUCAGCGGUCAAAGGCCGGGGCGCAACCCCGGCCCGCCGUUGAAACUGGCAGUCUCGAGUUGGAGAGAAGUAUGCGGAAUGCGCGGUGUAGCGGUGAAAUGCAUAGAUAUCGCGCAGAACUCCGAUUGCGAAGGCAGCAUGCCGGCUCCCCACUGACGCUGAGGCACGAAAGCGUGGGUAUCGAACAGGAUUAGAUACCCGGGUAGUC
rnacentral:rRNA from 1 species